UAGAUCAAGAAGAACGAAAUUCGGGAGUAGAUCGGGGAAAAGAAAAAGUAAAGGACUAAAUUGUAAAGUUUAGUCACAUUUUGUAUCAAGGUAAGUUACAGUAAAUAAAUGCAAUAUUCUUUUAUUUUACAUUAUUAUUGUCAACUUCCAGCAUUUAUAUAUUUAUGUUAUGAAAAUAUUUAAAGUCGAAUUUAAGGUGAAGUGACAGAGGAAAAGUGUUGAAAGCCGCGGUUGAACCCUAGGAAUGUUAGGAUAUUAGGGUUGACAGGACAGAACAGAAAUGAGCCAUGUAAGUCCAUAUUAGAAAUAUGGCUUUGGAGACAGGAUUGAGCCAUGUAAGUCCAUAUUAUAUAUGGCAUUGGAGACAGGAAUAAUUCAUGUAAGUCCAUGUCAAAGACAUGGCAUUGGCAGGAUAUUGAUAGACAGGAACGACCCUAGUAUCCUUAGUAUUCCGAGUGGUUCAACGGGUCAGGAUACGAGUUAAAUUACAGUGAAUUAACAGCAAAGGAAAAGUAGAUUAUACUUAUGAAAAAGGAAAGGUCAGGUAAGAAAGAAGGUAAGGGAAUAAAGAAGAAGAUAGAAAUUGAGAAGUAAAGAAAUUUAUGAUGUUAGAUGAUAUUAUGCAUAAUUAUCCAUUAUGUUGAAUGUUGUGAUUUAUUUGCUUGUAAGCUUACUAAGCCUAGUGCUUAAUCUCUUUAUUUUCUUCUUCUUAUAGUACUUAUCUAGUCACUUGGGGAUCGAAGGAAACGUCGGAGGCCGAUCACACUAUCAAAGAAAUAACUCGGUAUAAUUAGACGUUUUGUUUUGGGUAUGACAUGUAUAGAAACUUAGC
rnacentral:lncRNA from 1 species